rnacentral:tRNA from 1 species
AUUCCUUUAAUUUAAUUAAAAAUUUUGAUUUGUGAAUUCAAAAAUCCUACAAGGGGAGGGAUU